UGUGUGUGUGUGUGUGUGUGUGUGUGUGUGUGUGUGUGUGUGUGUGUGUGUGUGUGUGUGUGUGUGUGUGUGUGUGUGUGUGUGUGUGCGUUUGUCAAAGUGACAUAUGGGGACAUUUUUAUGAAAUUUCACCUUACAUAUGAGGACCUGUUGAAAUAUGGGGACAUUUUCCAUGUCCCCAUAUUUCCCGCAAUGCUAUCGUGUUCUAGACCCUCCCAGCAUGUUCCCAGACCAAAAAUCUCUAAAGUCUUCAUUUGUCAAAUUUUCAGAAAAAGUGUGUGAAAGUGUGUUUAAUUUUUUUGGUCACCUUCGAUUUUGCCCCUAGUGGCCAUCUUUGCUAUUAUGACACACACACACACACACUUGUCCUCAUAUGUCAUAUGUCCUCAUAUGUCAUGUGGGUCAGAAACUCACACACUCCAACAUUUUGAAAAACAUCUAACCAUUACAGCAAUAAACAUACUCUUGAAUUCUGAAUCAAAUAACAACACAUUUUCAACUGAUCUGAUGAUCUCAUCCUUUUUAGUGUUAGUUUUAUCUAUUAAUUUGGUUUAUCUGGAGAGGAUUUGGGCUAGACAAUUAGUAAUAAAGGGAUUAUGGUGAUGAUUUAAUUUGUUUGAUUCAGUAUUUUACUGUAUUGGACUUUUUGCUAUUCUGUUGACUAAAAUACAAUGCCGCACAAUAAUUGCUUUAAAUGUGCCUGAAAUGUAGGUUUUUGCAUAAAAAAAAACAACCUUCAACCUUGAUUGAGACAAAGGCAAUAAUUCAAAUGCAAUUCAAACUACACACAGUAUUUAAUAUUUUCAAAUGGUUACAAUAGCACAUUAUUUGGGUAUUUUUAUCUUUGGGGCAAAUUUAGGAUUAAUAUGGGGAUUGUUUUUGGAGGUAUUCACUUUACAUGGUGUUCAAGAUGGUUACUUCCGCCCACUCUGAAGAGUCUCGGCGUCUGAUUGGUCCAAUUUUCAGUUAGGCGCCGCCUGAUUGGCCGCUGGACGAUGUCUGCUCCUAACAGAGGGCUAAAUCACUAGUUAACUAUUUUCAUCAUGGAAGUUAUACAGCUCACGUAUCACACUUAAUAUUGAAUAUAUAUAUAAAGGGUUUUCCAAAAGGACCAUUUAUAAUCGAAAUACAAAACUUCACACACGAUUUUGAGCACAACAGAGCGCUCAGUGAACAGCACUUCCGGGACCUGCAUCACCGGAGGGGGACAUCUAUCUUGGCCACAAACCAUCUUUGACAGUCUUCGGCAGCAUGGUUGAAUCAGGCGCAUCAACACAUGAUAUAGACAUCGUGUCCAAAAGAAGAGCGAGACGUAAUCCUGAGGCUGAAGCUACCGAGUUUAUUUGAUCUGGAUGUGACAAGUCUUGUUUUAAGGCCCAGUGGAUCAAUGAUUGGAAAGACACCAACUGUUGAUGUUCUAUCUCAACAUUCUCCAGACUCAUGUGACCGAUAAACCGACUUCAUCCCUCCAACAGACACCAACUGUUGGGGUUCUAUCUCAACAUUCUCCAGAUUCAGAUGUGAGCGAUAAACCGACUUCAUCCCUCCAACAGACACCAACUGUUGGGGUUCUAUCUCAACAUUCUCCAGAUUCAGAUGUGAGCGAUAAACCGACUUCAUCCCUCCAACAGAAACCAACUGUUGAGGUUCCAUCUCAACAUUCUCCAGAUUCAGAUGUGAGCCAUUAACUGACUUCAUCCCUCCAACAGAAACCAACUGUUGAGGUUCUAUCUCAACAUUCUCUAGAUUCAGAUGACAGCCAUAAACCGACUUCAUCCCUCCAACAGAUUGACAGCAGGACAAAUCGCUGGAAGUAGGUAUGUCUCAAGCUUCUUCCACUUGGUCCACUCCAAAGCGGGCUGCAAAGGGGAAGAAGUGGAAGCAGUUGAAUGACACAUGUUGCAUUUUGUAACUGGCAACAAAGUACCAGGUAAAAAAGAUUGUGAAGCCUGCCUCCAUAAAGAACUAGUAGCUCUACAGGACAGAGAUUGGCUUGCCAUCAAGUACUACAUCCAUAACAGAAUUAUAUUAAAAAAAGGGGAAAAAAAUGUUUUCCCACAUCUUCUGUGGUAGUUUGAGUAUGUUACCAGCAAUUAAAAAAGCAAAAUAAA